GGAGGGGUGCAAGCGUUGUUCGGAAUUAUUGGGCGUAAAGCGCGUGUAGGCGGUUAUCUAAGUCUGAUGUGAAAGCCCGGGGCUUAACCCCGGAAGUGCAUUGGAUACUGGAUAACUAGAGGACGAGAGAGGGAAGUGGAAUUCCUGGUGUAGGGGUGGAAUCCGUAGAUAUCAGGAGGAACAUCGGAGGCGAAGGCGGCUUCCUGGCUCGUAACUGACGCUGAGACGCGAAAGCGUGGGUAGCAAACAGGAUUAGAUACCCUGGUAGUCCACGCCCUAAACGAUGGAUACUAGUUAUCGGGAUACCUAAUAGUCUCGGUGGCGUAGCUAACGCAUUAAGUAUCCCGCCUGGGGAUUACGGUCGCAAAGAUUA
rnacentral:rRNA from 1 species